AGCGAACGCUGGCGGCAGGCCUAACACAUGCAAGUCGAACGAUCCUUCGGGAUAGUGGCGGACGGGUGAGUAACACGUGGGAACGUGCCCUUUGGUUCGGAACAACUCAGGGAAACUUGAGCUAAUACCGAAUGUGCCCUUCGGGGGAAAGAUUUAUCGCCAUUGGAGCGGCCCGCGUCUGAUUAGCUAGUUGGUGAGGUAAUGGCUCACCAAGGCGACGAUCAGUAGCUGGUCUGAGAGGAUGAUCAGCCACACUGGGACUGAGACACGGCCCAGACUCCUACGGGAGGCAGCAGUGGGGAAUCUUGCGCAAUGGGCGAAAGCCUGACGCAGCCAUGCCGCGUGAAUGAUGAAGGUCUUAGGAUUGUAAAAUACUUUCACCGGGGACGAUAAUGACGGUACCCGGAGAAGAAGCUCCGGCUAACUUCGUGCCAGCCGCCGCGGUAAGAC
rnacentral:rRNA from 1 species